rnacentral:rRNA from 1 species
CAGAGGUCCCAAGCGUUGUUCGGAUUUACUGGGCGUAAAGGGAGCGUAGGUGGCGGGCUAGGUCUAAUGUGAAAGCUCUGAGCUUAACUCAGAAAUGGCAUUGGAUACUAGUUCGCUUGAGGAUUGGAGGGGAGACUGGAAUGCUCGGUGUAGCAGUGAAAUGCGUAGAUAUCGAGCGGAACACCAGUGGCGAAGGCGAGUCUCUGGACAAUUCCUGACACUGAUGCUCGAAAGCUAGGGGAGCAAACGGGAUUAGAUACCCCGGUAGUCCUAGCUGUAAACGGUGCGCGCUUGCUGUAGGUGGAUUCGACCCCGCCUGUAGCGAAGCUAACGCGUUAAGCGCGCCGCCUGGGAAGUACGGUCGCAAGAUUA